GACGAACGCUGGCGGCGGGCUUAACACAUGCAAGUCGAACGGAAAGUCCCUGCUUUUGGGGGGUGCUCGAGGGGCGAAGGGGGAAGUAACACGUGAGUAACCUGCACCUGACUGUGGGAUAACUUCAGGAAACUGGGGCUAAUACCGGAUAGGAUCUCCUGCUGCUAGGUGGGGGUGGGAAAGUUUCGGCGGUUGGGGAUGGAAGCGCGCCGUAUCAGCUUGUUGGGUGGGUAGUGGCAUACCAAGGCAUGGAGGGGUAGCCGGCCUGAGAGGGGAACCGGACACAUUAGGCCUGAGAUGAGGCCCAGACUCGAACGGGACGCAGCGGUGGAGAAUAUUGUCCAGCGGGCGGAAGCCUGAUGCGACAAAGCCACGUGCGGGAUGACAGCCUUCGGGUAGUAAACCGCUUUUGUCUGUGACGAGGCGUGAGUGACGGUACUGGGUAAAGAAGCACCGGCUAACUACGUG
rnacentral:rRNA from 1 species